rnacentral:rRNA from 1 species
AGAGUUUGAUCCUGGCUCAGAUUGAACGCUGGCGGCAUGCUUUACACGUGCAAGUCGAACGGCAGCACAGGGAGCUUGCUCCCGGGUGGCGAGUGGCGCACGGGUGAGUGAUACAUCGGAACGUGUCCUGUUGUGGGGGAUAACUGCUCGAAAGGGUGGCUAAUACCGCAUGAGACCUGAGGGUGAAAGCGGGGGAUCGCAAGACCUCGCGCAAUUGGAGCGGCCGAUGCCCGAUUAGCUAGUUGGUGAGGUAAAGGCUCACCAAGGCGACGAUCGGUAGCUGGUCUGAGAGGACGACCAGCCACACUGGGACUGAGACACGGCCCAGACCUCCGUACGGGAGCA